rnacentral:tRNA from 2 species
UGGCUAUGUAGCUCAGUUGGUUAGAGCACGGCAUUCAUAAUGCCGGUGUCGGUGGUUCAAGUCCACCCAUAGCCACUUU